GUUGCAGUUACACUGCGACAGUGAAACUGGAGGUCUCUGGUUCUUCAAGUACUGCCCAAAAGUGUUCCAAUCUCGCCUUUUCUGUGACUCGUACCUGCUCAACGGAGCCGGUUGAGGAAGCUGCUGCUGAUGAUCUCCGCCGGAUCGCGAGGAUCCUUCGGCAGAAUCUUUAGGCCUGUCACCUGACAUGAUCAAUUUUUUUCUCUCUCAAAGAAAUUCUUUGAUAUUUUUAGCAAGAUAUGGGGAAAAAAUAUUGGGGCUUAGAGAGCAAGAGAGAGAGAGACUAUGGGAAAG
rnacentral:misc_RNA from 1 species